rnacentral:siRNA from 1 species
UGUUGAUGAAUAUGGUAGA